GCAUCGAAACACUAGUUCCCGUACGGUCACCAAAGUUAAGCAUCGUCAAACACGUUCAGUACCUAGACGAGUGACCGCUUGGGAAUACUAGGUGCAGCA